UUGUAAGAGAAACAGAUUGUAAUACAAAGUUAUGAAGAAUCAAUGGAUGAUGGAAUGGCUAAGGGGGUCUUCUCCACACAUGAAAUAUAUGCAACCUAAAUCGAUUUCCAGUUAUCAAUUGAAUAAGUUAUGAACCUCGACACUCCAAGUUAAUUAGAUCCGCUUAAAUUAACCUUCAGAUUUCCCUAGAAUCAUUGAAUUGGAUGAAUAUGCAUCGCAAACAAAUUAUUCCUAACAAGUUCUUUAUAUGAACAGCAUGAUAAAGAUACAGGUUAGAAUCAUUACGUUCUUUGGAAAUCAUAAGCAUCGACAAGGCAUUCGUGACUAUGAAAAGCAUGAUACUCUUGCCAAGAAUCUACUUAACACGAUCGUGACUAGCGACCUUUACUACUUGUGAAUAUAAAUUCAUAACGAUUAGGUGAAACAAACUUAUAUCCUAGCAUCAAAUUCAAGUAUGCCAAUUAAGCAUGCACUCUCAACCAACAUACAAGAAUAAGUUCUAAAUCAAACGGUUAAGCGAAUUGUAUUCAUGACUCAUGCAACGAUAACCGAGGGUAAUCAAUUUAUUUCACAUAUAUAAUCAUGGUUUUGAAUCCACCCUUAGCCAAAAUGAAUUUAGCCAAUCAUACUUAAAGCAAAACAAAGAUUACAUGAAUUAGACAUUGAAAUAUAAGAUAGAAAACACCUAAAAUCGUUCAACAACUCAGAAUAAAUAGCCAAACAAUCGUAGUGAAUCUGUCCCCUUCUUUGCUUGCAGCAGAUUGGGUUGUGAAGAUGUUUUGGGUAGUUUUAUGGUGUAGAAUGGAUGGGGAAUGGUAUGGGGAGGUUUAGGGUGAGUAUGGAGGAGUGUUUGAUGGUUGAAGGAUGGUAGAGAACUCGGCAAAGAGGGUGGAAUAAGGUGGAGUGGCUGUUAUGUUUUCUGGGCACUAGAAUGGUGUUUUUGGGGUGUUUUGCUGCCUAGGGUGAGUAUGGACGAAUUUUCUUCAUGAAUGAUGAAUAUGGGAGGUUGAACCCUUUGCCAAGGGUUGUAUACAUGUAUAUAUAGGCCCCAAAAACCCUAGAGAAUCAGAUUAGGCAGUGGGGGAAAUGCACAGCA
rnacentral:lncRNA from 1 species